GUUCUUGAGUCACCAUGGAUAUAAUGAGGGAUGCAAAGCCAUGGAAGCUGCCCCCCGCGCUGGACAAGUACAAGAGCACGUAUCGGAAGGACUUCGGCUGGCACGGCGAUUAUCACUCACCCACCCAGGCACACGUACCGAAACCUUCAUUCCCUCCUGUUCCAGAAGUAUCCAAGUGCUACCUUCCAGAGUGCUACGCCUCUGACCUGACACCAGGACGGGUGGGGAAACUGGAGAUUCUUGCUGAGCCUAUGCACGACCUGUCUUGUUGCCCGUCCAUUCCUCCUCUGUCAGCUAGAACUGAAGAGGCGUUGGUGCCGAAGCAACUGCCGUCCACGGGCUUGGUCACCUACCAGCAAUUCGCCCAGGAUUUGUACCUGGAAGGGCUGCACAAUGCUGAUAAAUACAAAACCAAGAACACGAGCUCAUCUGUUUUAAUGAGAGACUACUCUGACCUCGACUGGAAAAGUACCUACAAGCAAGAUUUUGAGCACUGGAAAGGAGUCCGUGGUGCGCUCUACACAGAGGAGAUAAGGCCUUCUCCCGUUUUCCCUGAAGAUAACCGCUUCAAUGAGAGCCGCUGGGUUUCUGAGUAUGCAGACAGCUACAGCAUCUUCCUGAAGAGGCUGGACUGGUCAUCUCCCAUCUCUGCACAAUGGCUGCCCUUUGGGAAGGAUGCACGAUGGACACCGCGAUGGAGAGAGUCCAGUCACUGAGUGGUGCUAGGGUGGCUGUG
rnacentral:lncRNA from 1 species